UCCACUUGCACUUAAGUCAAUCGUCCCUAUACUAGAUACCCAUGCUAUUAAGGUAGCGAUCACACUGUUGCUAUGAUAAGGCUUAAUGAACAGGUCUACCAUGCAUGUCUUUGUAUCAACUCACUUUAUGAUCAUAUCAUGAAUGAGGUGAAAGGGGCUUAGAAUGUGCAUUCUUCUGAUGAGACCAUACCCAAUUCUGUGAUGAAC
rnacentral:lncRNA from 1 species